CCUACGGGUGGCAGCAGUGGGGAAUAUUGCACAAUGGGCGAAACCCUGAUGCAGCGACGCCGCGUGAGUGAAGAAGUAUUUCGGUAUGUAAAGCUCUAUCAGCAGGGAAGAAAAUGACGGUACCUGAUUAAGAAGCCCCGGCUAACUACGUGCCAGCAGCCGCGGUAAUACGUCGGGGGCAAGCGUUAUCCGGAUUUAGUGGGGUUAAAGCGUGCGCAGGCGGCGAGUUAAGUCAGCGGUAAAAUGUCGGGGCUCAACCCCGACAAGCCGUUGAAACUGGCUUGCUAGAGUGGGCGAGAAGUAUGCGGAAUGCGUGGUGUAGCGGUGAAAUGCAUAGAGAUCACGCAGAACUCCGAUUGCGAAGGCAGCAUACCGGCGCCCAACUGACGCUCAGGCACGAAAGCGUGGGUAUCGAACAGGAUUAGAUACCCCAGUAGUC
rnacentral:rRNA from 1 species